rnacentral:misc_RNA from 1 species
UCCGGUUUGUCACCGGCAGUCUCCUUAGAGUUCCCAGCAUGACCUGAUGGCAACUAAGGACAAGGGUUGCGCUCGUUACGGGACUUAACCCAACAUCUCACGACACGAGCUGACGACAGCCAUGCAGCACCUGUCACCUGGUUCCCGAAGGCACACCCGUAUCUCUACAGGCUUCCAGGGAUGUCAAGAGUAGGUAAGGUGGGGAUGACGUCGGAGAGUACGUCC